rnacentral:rRNA from 1 species
UCGGGAAUUUUGGGCAAUGGGGGAAAGCCUGACCCAGCAACGCCGCGUGAGGGAUGAAGUACUUCGGUAUGUAAACCUCGAAAGAAUGGGAAGAAUAAAUGACGGUACCAUUUAUAAGCUCCGGCUAACUACGUGCCAGCAGCCGCGGUAAUACGUAGGGAGCAAGCGUUGUUCGGAUUUACUGGGCGUAAAGGGCGCGUAGGCGGCGCGGUAAGUCACUUGUGAAAUCUCUGAGCUUAACUCAGAACGGCCAAGUGAUACUGCUGUGCUAGAGUGCGGAAGAGGCAACCGGAAUUCUUGGUGUAGCGGUGAAAUGCGUAGAUAUCAGGAGGAACACCGGCGGUGUAGACGGCUUGCUAGACCAUAACUGACGCUGAGGCACGAAAGCGUGGGUAGCAAACA